rnacentral:rRNA from 1 species
UACGGAGGGUGCGAGCGUUGUCCGGAAUCACUGGGCGUAAAGGGCGCGUAGGCGGCAGGCCAAGCGUGCGGUGAAAGUCCGGGGCUCAACCCCGGAUCUGCCGUGCGGACUGGUUUGCUAGAGCACUGUAGAGGCGAGUGGAAUUCCGGGUGUAGCGGUGGAAUGCGUAGAGAUCCGGAAGAACACCGGUGGCGAAGGCGGCUCGCUGGGCAGUGGCUGACGCUGGGGCGCGACAGCGUGGGGAGCAAACAGG